rnacentral:snRNA from 1 species
UGUAUCUUCAAUCUCCCCUACAUUAAAAUGGAAACAAUACAGAGAAGAUUAGUAUGGCUUCUGCACAAGGAUGAUACACAAAAUCGUUAAUUGAUAUAAUGUUAA